rnacentral:rRNA from 1 species
AGCUGCGGCAGCGAACGUAUCACUUAAAGCGAUUCAGCGGAUGACGAUUGACGGAGCGAAGCGACGUCAAAGCGUAUACAAAGUCGAGUCGGUUUAAGGAUACGUUCGUUGGGUAGGGGAGCGUUCUGUAAGCCUGCGAAGGUGGCCUGUGAGGGUUGCUGGAGGUAUCAGAAGUGCGAAUGCUGACAUAAGUAACGAUAAAGCGGGUGAAAAGCCCGCUCGCCGGAAGACCAAGGGUUCCUGUCCAACGUUAAUCGGGGCAGGGUGAGUCGACCCCUAAGGCGAGGCCGAAAGGCGUAGUCGAUGGGAAACGGGUUAAUAUUCCCGUACUUGGUGUUACUGCGAAGGGGGGACGGAGAAGGCUAUGUUGGCCGGGCGACGGUUGUCCCGGUUUAAGCGUGUAGGUGUGUGUUCCAGGUAAAUCCGGUUCACUUUAACACUGAGGCGUGAUGACGAGGCACUACGGUGCUGAAGCAACAAAUGCCCUGCUUCCAGGAAAAGCCUCUAAGCAUCAGGUAACAUCAAAUCGUACCCCAAACCGACACAGGUGGUCAGGUAGAGAAUACCAAGGCGCUUGAGAGAACUCGGGUGAAGGAACUAGGCAAAAUGGUGCCGUAACUUCGGGAGAAGGCACGCUGACAUGUAGGUGAAGUGAUUUACUCAUGGAGCUGAAGUCAGUCGAAGAUACCAGCUGGCUGCAACUGUUUAUUAAAAACACAGCACUGUGCAAACACGAAAGUGGACGUAUACGGUGUGACGCCUGCCCGGUGCCGGAAGGUUAAUUGAUGGGGUCAGCGCAAGCGAAGCUCCUGAUCGAAGCCCCGGUAAACGGCGGCCGUAACUAUAACGGUCCUAAGGUAGCGAAAUUCCUUGUCGGGUAAGUUCCGACCUGCACGAAUGGCGUAAUGAUGGCCAGGCUGUCUCCACCCGAGACUCAGUGAAAUUGAACUCGCUGUGAAGAUGCAGUGUACCCGCGGCAAGACGGAAAGACCCCGUGAACCUUUACUAUAGCUUGACACUGAACAUUGAGCCUUGAUGUGUAGGAUAGGUGGGAGGCUUUGAAGUGUGGACGCCAGUCUGCAUGGAGCCGACCUUGAAAUACCACCCUUUAAUGUUU